GUCCACGCCCUAAACGAUGUCUACUAGUUGUUGGGGUAGCAAUACCUCAGUGACGCAGCUAACGCGUGAAGUAGACCGCCUGGGGAGUACGGUCGCAAGAUUAAAACUCAAAGGAAUUGACGGGGGCCCCGCACAAGCGGUGGAUUAUGUGGAUUAAUUCGAUGCAACGCGAAAAACCUUACCUGGCCUUGACAUGCCACUAACGAAGCAGAGAUGCAUUAGGUGCCCGAAAGGGAAAGUGGACACAGGUGCUGCAUGGCUGUCGU
rnacentral:rRNA from 1 species